GAAGUACUGGUCUUUUAGCUGCUGCUUCACCAGCUGAUGCCUCUCCUGCAGCUGAUGCUCCUCCAUCUCCCACAGCGCCGCCUCCCGGUCUGCGGAGGACAGGCUACCUGGUGAGACUCUCUGCCUCCCAUCUAUACGUGACUGAAACAGUAUCUGGCAUUUUAUUCCUGGAAGUCUAUUAACUGACCCUGUGCUCAGGGCAGAGAACUGGCGUCAGAUGGAGAACCCCACGCCCUGUAAGGCACAGCUGGUCAUACUCAGCCCACGGCGAACGUUCAGUUUGUUUCACAGCGCUUCUGUUCCCAUGAAAGCUGGCAUCUACCUGCAGACUACUGCAACAGUGAUUUGGCUUCCAAACCAAAAUCAGAACCACCGUCCCACAAGUAGGAUGGUUCUUAGAGACCAUCUCAUGACAAAAGGAAUCAAGGGCUUUCCUGAAACAUCCGUGGCUCUAUUCGAAUGUCAGGAUACAAGGACCCCAUUUUGCUUGGUCCACACCAACACAGGGGUCGAUGCCGUCCGGCUGCACUGGCCAUCAGAGUCCUGGCACGGCCCCUGUCUUGUAAGUGAGCCAGAGGCAGCCCUGUAUGUCGGUCCUGUGUUUACGUCUUCACCGCAGACAGGGCCCAUUAGCUCUAAAGCCCACAGGCUCCAAACUCAGAUUUUCACUCAUCCAGUUAUUUUAAAUGUAGUUCAGACAACAGACUUCUAGCCAUUUGGAGCCUGCUUGCUUUGCAUACCUCUAUAAAACUGCUCCCAACAUCUGCUAGCCGUAGAUAAGAUAGCUUGGGGGCUCUAAACAGACCCCAAGCCCUGCGCUGGAGCUCUCCACCUCAGCCUCCCCUGCUGAGCUCCCCGCUGCUGAGUGACAUCAUCCAGAUGCAUAAGCCUCCCCCAUCCCCUUCCUCCCCAGGGGUGGUGGCCCACACUUGUCUCUGGAAGAUCUCACGCUGGGAGACUCGCCAGCAGACAAACCUGCCCCAAAACGCCACCGCACCAGGGUAGUCACGGGCUUGGCUUCAAGGUAAGGUCUGCAUUCAGGGUCCACUCUACCGCUCAUGAACUCUGCAACCUGGCCGAAGAGUCGCACUCUCCAGGCCUCCCUUUCCUCAUCUAUAAAAACGGGGCCAGUAGUGGGGCCUGCCUUGGGUUAAGGAGAGGGUUCAAUGAGGUUAAGCUAGGAGACUAAGGCACAGGGCCUGGCAGAGGAGUCUCAAUAGGAGACGGCUGUUACCAAGGGGCUCUCCAUACCGCCCCCGCCUCCACGACCCUGUUAACCCAGCUCACUUAUUUACUAUUUCCACCCACUCUGUAUCGCCUCCUUUUCUUUUUCUCCCCUUGACAUCUGCAAUAACGUCACAUAGUGUUGGUGAGAACUGGUAUCUUUGCCUCAGUCCUGACCUCAGGGGGUCUCCCUCAUGUUUCACCAUGCGGGCUGAGGUCUGCUUCUCCGGUGGAGAAGACCUAACAGUUGUUUCUUGCCCGGGGCUGGGAUGUCCAUUCAUGGCGACAACACGGGCCAACGUGGCGCCAGCCGCACCCCACCCACCGCACCCCCCGCUGCGGGGCACCCACCUCGAAGGAGCUCCUGCUUCUUAGAGAGGCACUCGCGCUCCUUGUCGCAGAUCUCCCGCCUGUUGUCCGCGGUGAUCCUCUUCAUCGCCAGCUCCAGGUCCUCCUUCUGCUUGGCUAGGAAGUCCCGGUCCUGUUGUUACAUAUUUAAACUUUUAGGUGUGUUUAUGGUAUGGUGGCUACUACAUCACUGAGAUAUUUACAGGUAAAAAGACAGGAUGUCUGGACUCCAAAAUAACACAGUGGUGUGGGGGAGUGAGUGGCCCGGAGCUGAGAAUUACGGAGGUCAAGUGAGGGGUACAUGGAGGUUCAUUAUACUGUUAUACCUACUUCUGCUUAUGUUUUUAAUUUUCCAUAAUAAAAA